AAUCUGGCUGCAACGUCUGUUACCCCAUUGAUCCCAGGGUUAAUUCAGCUGAUCUGGUUGGCUAGGCGGGUGUACAUAUU
rnacentral:sRNA from 1 species